rnacentral:rRNA from 1 species
UAAAAUUUAUAAAAUUAGGUAGUAAAGAAAUUUCCGAAACCUAAAGAAUUUGGCGGUAUUUUAAAUAAUUGGAGGAACCUGUUAUUUAAUUGACAAUCCACAACAUAUCUUACCUAAAUUUUAUUUGUAUAUCGUCGUUUUGAUAAUAUUUAAAAAUUAUGAUCAAUUUUAAUACAUUUUUAAAAUUCAGAUCAAGGUGCAGUAUAUUUAGGUUAUAAUGGGUUACAAUAUAUUUAUAUAUAAUGAAUAUAAACUUGAAAAUUAUAUUGAAAGUGGAUUCAAAAGUAAAAUAUAAUUAAAAAGUUUAUUUGAUUAAUAAUUUAAAAUAUGC